rnacentral:misc_RNA from 1 species
GUAGGUGAACCUGCGGAAGGAUCAUUACAAAUCCAUCCACGUCUCAUAUCCUGAGACCACGUUGAAAUGUUCCCCAGAGCCUCUGGCCCCUCUGCUGUUGCCGCUUGCCCCUUCACCGGGGAGGGCGCGCCUGCCUUGGGAUCAUGCUCCGGGCUGUUAAACUAGUUUUCUCUGUUGCUCAAAUGUAUCUUGAUUUUCAAUCAAACGAAAACUUGUACAACUUAUAACAAUGGAUCUCUAGGCUCUUGCA